GGUUCUAUGGUGUAAUGGUUAGCACUAAGGACUCUGAAUUCUGAGUUCAAAUCUCGGUAGGACCU
rnacentral:tRNA from 1 species